rnacentral:rRNA from 1 species
UGCGUAGGCGGUUUAGAAAGUCUGAUGUGAAAGCCUAUGGCUUAACCAUAGAAACUGCAUUGGAAACUUCUAAACUAGAAUACUGAAGGGGCAGAUGGAAUUAGUGGUGUAGGGGUAAAAUCCGUAGAUAUCACUAGGAAUACCGAAAGACGAAAGCGAUCUGCUGGGAAGGUUAUUGACGCUGAGGCACGAAAGCGGUGGGGAGGCAAACG